rnacentral:tRNA from 1 species
GGGGAUGUAGUUAAGAAUAACAUCUAAUUUGCAAUUAGAAGGAACUAAUAUUAGUCUUCCUCAUA